UAUUACAUUCCGAUGUCCACCAUCUUGGUUCGCAUACUUCGGGAGCCCCGCAAUUUCUUUACAUAUAAUUUUUUGUAAUUUGUAUGUCGAGUGUGCUUUUGAAAAAAUAAACUACUGAUUACUGAUAUAUCCAGAGGAUGUUUUAGAUUAGUUUGUUAUUCUGCCUAUAUAAUACAACCUAUUUUUUCUUUGUCUCAAUAAAAGUAGUUUAUAUUGAAAUAUCCAUAUAUCCACUGUUGGUCAUAAUUUUGUAUUCAAAUUUAUUAAUUUAGAAUAAAAUUCAACACUUCUCAACUGUACAAUCUUAGGUAAACAUCUUCUUAAUUGUUUUCACUUUAUCGUUGCUGUAUAUGUCACUAUUGGCCAGCAUUUGUUUUUACUUAUUGUUGACUGUUUGUAUUUUGGUUGACAAAAUACUGAAUAUCCCUCUCUCUAUCAUUGUAGGAGAAUAAAGUUCAACACCCCUGAGAAACAUCAUUUUAAUGUUUUUCACUUCAUUUUUUUUACUUUUAUCUUUGUUAUAUAUGUCACUAUUGGCCAUUAUGAAUUCAGUUUAAAAUUCAACACUCCUCUGCCUUCAUUGUAUUUUUCAUUUCGUUUCACUGUAUAUAUUCACUUUGAUUUCACAUAUGCAUGUUACGAAUUUUUACCUUCCAUGGUUAAAAGUAUUGUUUACAAUAAAGUGAAUUAUAACCUGG